UUCACCUUGGCAAAGCUUCCUAUACAAACCUGUGAUCAUAUGCCUUUGUUUUCUCACUUCAGGUACAAGAGAGGUGAGCACAAGAUGGGCCAAAUAUGAGAUGUGGAAUCAGGAAAAACAGAAAAAGUGGAAGAAAUGGCAAACGUGGACGUGAGAGCAGCUGGGUUUUCUAGCUCUGGGCGUCUGCAGGAAUCAUGUUCCAGGAAGGGCUGGGAGAGGCUGCGGGGAAAAGGAAGGGGUGCAGGGGAGUGUGCCCCACCCUUGCCCUGUGCCUGCAGGUGGGCCGGACUUGGACCCUGCCUGGAUGAUCUGCGAAGAAAUAGGGUUCCAAAAGGGCAGAUCCCAAGACAAUGCCUUAUAAAGGUCCUGGCUAACGUUUCCAUGGCAGCUUGCUGAGUGGCCGAGCUGAUCUCAGCCCUUCCAGGGGUGACUCAUUGACUCCUCCCAAGCUGGAGAGGUGAGAGUUCUUUUCCGGUUUACAUAUCAGGAAGCUGAGGCAUGGAAAGGUGAGGUGAUUUGUCCCGGGUUACACCUUCAGGAGGUGGUAGAGGCAAGGUUUUAUUCAUUUGUUAGGAUGAUCCACGUUUUUAACCACCUGCCAGUCAUCCCGGGGUAGAAAGCUCAGACUUCCUCUUAGCAGCAGACUUUUCUAGCCUUGUUUUCUCACUGGCAAAGAGGGGAUCACAGGGCUUAACUCACUGUGAUGAUGGAAGGACUCACAUGAGCUAUUUUAUGAAAGCUGUUAGGAAGCCUGGGACGUGGUGAGCACUUGAUACCUGGUGGGCGCAGGACUGGACGAGGGAAAACUUGGGCUGAGAGCCCUGUGCUCAGGACACCGUGAGGACACCCGGCAGGUGCAUGGAUGCACUUGGCGAGGCUGGGAGAGGAGUGAUGUUUCACUAAAGACCACUCCCCUUCUUUUCCCUCCACUGACAUCUUCCAGGUAGCUGGAGACCACCCUGGCUGAGCUGUGAUCAGUCGCAUCUAGACUAGUUUGGUGUUUCAGAGCAAGUCUCUCAAAUGCCCUGUGCCUCAAUGCUCUCAUCUGCACGUUGGAAGAAAGAAUUCCUGCUUCCCAGAGCCGUUGGGAGGAGUAACAGAGGUGAAGUGUGUAAAGUACACACGAAAGGAACUCAGCUGACAGCAGCAUCUUCACUGAGUUUCAGAUUUCUGACCCACGGAAAGGCAAGAUAUUCUAAUUCUGCACUGCCCAGUAGGGUGGCCUCUAGCCACAUGUGGCCACUGAGAUCCUGCAGUGUGGCCUGUCCAAGCUGAACCGAACUCUUGGUGGGAAAUGCUCACCAGAUUUGAAGACUUUGUAUGACAGAAUGAACAGAAAUAUCUUGACAUUUUUGUCUCAGGCUGGAGUGCUGUGGUGCAAUCUUGGCUCACUGAAACCUCC
rnacentral:lncRNA from 1 species